CCUCACUGGAGGUGAAAUGAAAGCAGUCCUGCUCUCUAGAGCCCUGCCAUGAGUUCCUACAGCCCUUUGGUUCUAUCGAGCCUUUCGGCAGCAGACUGUGUCUGUCUCUGCUCCACGAGCCACACGCCUGCAGUCACAGGGACUUCCUCCUGUCCACCACUGCAGGUGGAGCCUCUGGUCUCGCUCGGUCUGGGUGGCAGCCAUCAUUGAUUUUCCCAUCCUUCCAGCCCUUCCAUAUAACCCACGGCAGGAGUCUGUGUUUUCCUGGGGCUUUUCUCUUCCCUUUUUUUCCCCCCACUGGCAGAUGAAAAGAAACUCCCUUUUUUUCUUUCUGUGGGUUGUAGGCACUGAGCUCUGGCUCUGACUCUGGCACGGGAGUUCAGGUGGGUUAGGGGGACUGGAUGAGAGAGGAGGUGAGUUCAGGUGGGUUAGGGGGACUGGAUGAGAGAGGAGGAGGUG
ensembl:lncRNA